rnacentral:rRNA from 1 species
ACGGACUGAAGGCUUCUUUCUCGAUUCCGUGGAAAGUGGUGCAUGGCCGUUUUUGGUUGGUGGAUCGAUCCGUCUGGUUAAUUCCGUUAACGAACGAGACCUCGGCACUCCGAAUAGCGCGGCGGACGUCGCGGCCUUUGGGCCGUCUUCCGCACGAGCUUCUUAGAGGGACCGUCCCCCGCCGGGGAAGGAGGUGCGAGGCAACGACAGGUCUGUGAUGCCCUUAGAUGUUCUGGGCCGCACGCGCAUUACACUGACGCGUCCAACGGGUGACUCCCGACCCGAAGGGGCCGGGGAAUCCGCAAGGCGCGUCGUGAUGGGGAUUGAACGUUGCAAUUGUUGUUCACGAACGAGGAAUUCCUAGUAGGCGCGGGUCAUCAACCCGCGCCGAUUACGUCCCUGCCCUUUGUACACACCGCC